GACGAACGCUGGCGGCGUGCUUAACACAUGCAAGUCGAACGGAAAGGCCCUGCUUUUGUGGGGUGCUCGAGUGGCGAACGGGUGAGUAUCACGUGAGUAACCUGCCCCUGACUUUGGGAUAACUUCAGGAAACUGGGGCUAAUACCGGAUAGGAGCUCUUGCUGCAUGGUGGGGGUUGGAAAGUUUCGGCGGUUGGGGAUGGACUCGCGGCUUAUCAGCUUGUUGGUGAGGUAGUGGCUUACCAAGGCUUUGACGGGUAGCCGGCCUGGGAGGGUGACCGGCCUCAUUGGUACUGAGAUACGGACCAGACGCCUACGGGAGGCAGCAGUCGGGAAUAUUGCACAAUGGGCGGAAGCCUGAUGCAGCAACGCCGCGUGCGGGAUGACGGCCUUCGGGUUGUAAACCGCUUUCGCCUGUGACGAAGCGUGAGUGACGGUAAUGGGUAAAGAAGCACCGGCUAACUACGUG
rnacentral:rRNA from 1 species